GAUGAACGCUGGCGGCGUGCCUAAUACAUGCAAGUCGAACGAAACUUCUUUAUCACCGAGUGCUUGCACUCACCGAUAAAGAGUUGAGUGGCGAACGGGUGAGUAACACGUGGGCAACCUGCCCAAAAGAGGGGGAUAACACUUGGAAACAGGUGCUAAUACCGCAUAACCAUAGUUACCGCAUGGUAACUAUGUAAAAGGUGGCUAUACUACCGCUUUUGGAUGGGCCCGCGGCGCAUUAGCUAGUUGGUAGGGUAAAGGCUUACCAAGGCAAUGAUGCGUAGCCGAAUUGAGAGGUUGAUCGGCCACAUUGGGACUUAGACACGGCCCAAACUCCUACGGGAGGCAGCAGUAGGGAAUCUUCCACAAUGGGCGAAAGCCUGAUGGAGCAACGCCGCGUGGGUGAAGAAGGUCUUCGGAUCGUAAAAUCCUGUUGUUAGAGAAGAAAGUGCGUGAGAGUAACUGUUCACGUUUCGACGGUAUCUAACCAGAAAGCCACGGCUAACUACGUG
rnacentral:rRNA from 1 species